CAGCUACUCCACCUCCCUUCCAGUGGCAUUCCCAAACAGGGAUGAAAGGAAAGGAGCAGUGUGGGGACCCCCUGCCUUCCACCCUUGUGCCUUUGUCACCACCCCCAGUUUGCCUGCACAGCUCCAGCCAAAAUGAGUCACAUUUGCCUACUAAUUCCUUAAAAGUAAUGGGAUUUAUCCCAGUGGAUCACCUGCAUUCCAGUCACCACCCUUACCCACUUUCGUUCCAGCCUUUGUUGUCUGAGUCCACAUCACCUGGGAGGUGCCCCAGGAGUACCUGCACAGGAGAAAGACGAGGCUGGAUUAAAAGGAGACCUUGGAGGACUGAAUGUGUUAAAAACCAGUUUUAAAGCUUGA